UACGAGGGGGCGAGCGUUGUUCGGAAUUAUUGGGCGUAAAGGGUGCGUAGGCGGUCUGACAAGUCUGAUGUGAAAUCUAUGGGCUCAACCCAGAGUCUGCUAUAGAAACUGCCGUGCUUGAGUGUGGGAGAGGUGAGUGGAAUUCCCGGUGUAGCGGUGAAAUGCGUAGAUAUUCGGAAGAACACCAUGUGGCGAAAGGCGACUCGCUGG
rnacentral:rRNA from 1 species